GACGUAGGGCGCGAGCGUUGUCCGGAUUUAUUGGGCGUAAAGAGCUCGUAGGCGGCUCGUUGCGUCGGCUGUGAAAACCCGCAGCUCAACUGUGGGCUUGCAGCUGAUACGGGCGGGCUGGAGUUCGGUAGGGGAGACUGGAAUUCCUGGUGUGAGCGGUGAAAUGCGCAGAUAUCAGGAGGGAACACCGGUGGCGAAGGCGGGUCUCUGGGCCGAUACUGACGCUGAGGAGCGAAAGUGUGGGGAGCGAACAGG
rnacentral:rRNA from 1 species